GUUAUACUUUUUCUGUCCAACAAAAAAUGUCUCAAGUUUGUCAAAAUUUAGAUGUAUCUAUACAUUACUUAGUGUAUAGAUGCAUUCAAAUUUAAUCAAAUUUAAGACAUCCUUUGUUGAACGGAGAAAGUACUAA
rfam:Brachypodium distachyon strain Bd21 chromosome 3, whole genome shotgun sequence.